UUACAUAACUCCGAGAUAUUAAUUUACUUAUUGUAGAGGCAGAAAACGAAAAAUCACAGUUGUAUUCUUUCGAGUUUACUGGGUUUUUUACAGCAUAAGUGAAACUAAAUGAAAGAAUAGUUUAUUAUAGGGACCAUGAGCGUAUAUAUAUAUAUAUAUAAUUUCGGUACAUAUUUUUAUUAUCGUAAAUAUUUGCACGAAGUUGUGAAACAAAGAAGUCGUGGUUUCCAUUGCAACCGACUAUUUUUAAAUAAUUGCGUAUGGGUUUCAGUCAACCGCGUUUAUGAUCCCUAUAAUAAAUUAUUGUUUCAUUUCAGUUAUGCUAUAAAAAAUUUGAUGAACUCACAAGAGUAUAGUUGUGAUUUUUCGUUUUCUGUCUCUAUAAUAAGUGAUUCGGGCGAACUGGACAAAUGACACCAGUGAAUAGUUGGC
rnacentral:lncRNA from 1 species